rnacentral:rRNA from 1 species
AACCUUACCAGGUCUUGACAUCCUCUGACAAUCUGAGAGAUCAGACUUUCCCUUCGGGGACAGAGAGACAGGUGGUGCAUGGUUGUCGUCAGCUCGUGUCGUGAGAUGUUGGGUUAAGUCCCGCAACGAGCGCAACCCCUGUGGUUAGUUGCCAUCAUUUAGUUGGGCACUCUAAGCAGACUGCCGUGGAUAACACGGAGGAAGGUGGGGACGACGUCAAAUCAUCAUGCCCCUUAUGACCUGGGCUACACACGUGCUACAAUGGUCUGAACAGAGGGCUGCGAAACCGCGAGGUGAAGCUAAUCCCUUAAAACAGAUCUCAGUUCGGAUUGCAGGCUGCAACUCGCCUGCAUGAAGUUGGAGUUGCUAGUAAUCGCAGAUCAGAAUGCUGCGGUGAAUGCGUUCCCGGGUCUU